rnacentral:lncRNA from 1 species
AGAAUGGGCUUGUUAUAUUUAUCCCUUAAAUCAUUAGGGAGUAAUAAUUAGACCAAAAAUGGUUUUGAGUGUUUCUGUACUACUAAUUAUUUUUAGCUUGAAGCCGCUGCUGAUCAUUGGUUUUGGGGGGUCAGGAUGUAGAACUGUCUUAGGAGAUUCUAAAUAAAAGGGCGCCUUAUGUGCUUGGCCAGAGGAGGAGGAUUUUUAGCACGUGGCUGAGGCUGG